rnacentral:rRNA from 1 species
UACGAAGGGUGCAAACGUUGCUCGGAAUCAUUGGGCGUAAAGCGCACGUAGGCGGCUUCGCAAGUCGGAUGUGAAAUCCCGUGGCUCAACCAUGGACGUGCAUCCGAAACUGUGAGGCUUGAGUAUGGAAGAGGGUCGCGGAAUUCCCGGUGUAGAGGUGAAAUUCGUAGAUAUCGGGAGGAACACCAGUGGCGAAGGCGGCGACCUGGGCCAAUACUGACGCUGAGG